rnacentral:rRNA from 1 species
CCUACGGGAGGCAGCAGUAGGGAAUCUUCCGCAAUGGACGAAAGUCUGACGGAGCAACGCCGCGUGAACGAUGAAGGUCUUCGGAUCGUAAAGUUCUGUUGUUAGGGAAGAACAAGUACCGUGCGAAUAGAGCGGUACCUUGACGGUACCUAAGUCCGAGUAGAAGCCUCCGGCUAACUACGUGCCAGCAGCCGCGGUAAUACGUAGGGGGCAAGCGUUGUCCGGAAUUAUUGGGCGUAAAGCGCGCGCAGGCGGUUCCUUAAGUCUGAUGUGAAAGCCCACGGCUCAACCGUGGAGGGUCAUUGGAAACUGGGGAACUUGAGGACAGAAGAGGAGAGUGGAAUUCCACGUGUAGCGGUGAAAUGCGUAGAUAUGUGGAGGAACACCAGUGGCGAAGGCGACUCUCUGGUCUGUUUCUGACGCUGAGGUGCGAAAGCGUGGGUAGCAAACAGGAUUAGAUACCCUGGUAGUCCACGCCGUAAACGAUGAGUGCUAGGUGUUAGGGGGCUUCCACCCCUUAGUGCUGAAGUUAACGCAUUAAGCACUCCGCCUGGGGAGUACGGCCGCAAGGCUGAAACUCAAAGGAAUUGACGGGAGGCCCGCACAAGCGGUGGAGCAUGUGGUUUAAUUCGAAGCAACGCGAAGAACCUUAC